GAUUCUACACUGCCGCUGCACUCCUACAAGCCCACACUCCUACUCAAUCUUGCUGCCGUCCUCUGCCACCUGGUGAUACCCACCCCCGGUGACUCCCGUCACCGCGUCAGCGUCCCAUUCACGCCCAGCAACAGAGGUCGCCACCGCAGAAACAGGCAGGCUGCCCCCAUCGAUUCAGCCUCCAUCUCUGCUCUUCUUCACGGUGGGCAAGAUCCUUCGCGGCUCCAUCUCCAUGCCGCACAUGUUUCCAUCAACACAGCCGGUGCAUUCCUUACAGAGGUAUGCAAUGGGUCAGAGCUCUCUCCAUUUUUAUGAUUUAGCUUCUUAGUUCCAGAUUUGAAAAAAUGUGCUCUGUACAAGAUAUUCCUUACCUGGGUUACCAGAUAAAGCCUGAAGCCUUCCGAAAUUGAGAAGCCGAUAUAUGCACAUAUAGUUGAUUCAACCAAUACAGAUGCAGCCUAUCAUGCUUUUGCAUCCAUGAAAAACCCAAAGCUUUCCAAGAUGUCAAGUUCAUGCGUUCUGUGUAGUGGUGGAGCUUGACAACAAAUUCAGAGGGGGCCAACACCUGCUAGAGGAAAUACACAUUGCUACUGCUCUACUGAAUGCGUCCAUUUAUGUGGAUUUUCUAUCCUCAUGAAACGAGAGUGUCACACUUCCUUCUUCUUGAUGUAAUAAUAUAGGGAGCUCUUGUGUGGUCGAGAAAAAAAAAUCAAACCAAGAUUUGUCCUAAAACCUGACCACAUCGGUUUAGGAUAUGGUCUCAAACUCUCAAUGAUGCUUUACUGGGAAAUACCAUAGCUUUAUUGAGCCAUCUGCAACCUCUGUACCCUGUGAGGCUGUAACUCACGUUUUUUUGCUUUGGUGUCAAGGAUAUCAACCGAUAGAGGCAGAUAGCAGAGUUGGCUGCCAGCUGCUAAAAGAGACCCCAACUGUGCAACAAGGUACAUAGUCUGGUUUCAUGUCAAGUUCUUUUUAUGGUUCUGACGCUCCGUACUUCCACAUUGAUAUUUUCAUGUCAGCUUAAUGGCCUCGUUACUCGAACCAUAUUGGA